rnacentral:rRNA from 1 species
UACGUAGGGGGGCUAGCGUUGUCCGGAAUCAUUGGGCGUAAAGAGCGUGUAGGCGGCCCGGUAAGUCCGCUGUGAAAGUCGGGGGCUCAACCCUCGAAUGCCGGUGGAUACUGUCGGGCUAGAGUGCGGAAGAGGCGAGUGGAAUUCCUGGUGUAGCGGUGAAAUGCGCAGAUAUCAGGAGGAACACCGAUUGCGAAGGCAGCUCGCUGGGACGUAACUGACGCUGAGACGCGAAAGCGUGGGGGAGCAAACAGG